GCAGUAUUAGUUUAAUGGCAGAAUGUCGCCUUCCCAAGGCGGAGAUACGGGUUCGAUUCCCGUAUACUGCA
rnacentral:tRNA from 1 species